GAAAUCUGCCUAUAAGUUGGGGAUAAGCCUUGGAAACAGGGUCUAAUACCGAAUAUGGUCUACGGAUUAAAGAUUGCCUCUCCUUGGAAGCAGUCGCUUAUAGAUGAGUCCGCGUUGGAUUAGCUAGUUGGUGGGGUAAAGGCCUACCAAGGCGACGAUCCAUAGCUGGUUUGAGAGGAUGAUCAGCCACACUGGGACUGAGACACGGCCCAGACUCCUACGGGAGGCAGCAGUGGGGAAUAUUGGACAAUGGGGGCAACCCUGAUCCAGCAAUGCCGCGUGUGUGAAGAAGGCCCGAGGGUUGUAAAGCACUUUCAAAUGUGAAGAAGUUCUGAGUGUUAAUAGCAUUCAGAGUUGACGUUACCAUUAGAAGAAGCACCGGCUAACUCUGUGCCAGCAGCCGCGGUAAUACAGAGGGUGCGAGCGUUAAUCGGAAUUACUGGGCGUAAAGCGCGCGUAGGCGGUUUGUUAAGUUGGAUGUGAAAGCCCCGGGCUCAACCUGGGAUGGUCAUUCAAUACUGGCGAACUAGAGUGUGGUAGAGGGCAAUGGAAUUCCUAGUGUAGCGGUGAAAUGCGUAGAUAUUAGGAGGAACAUCAGUGGCGAAGGCGAUU
rnacentral:rRNA from 1 species